rnacentral:rRNA from 1 species
GAUGAACGCUAGCGGCAGGCUUAACACAUGCAAGUCGAGGGGUAACAGGGAGAAGCUUGCUUUUCCGCUGACGACCGGCGCACGGGUGAGUAACGCGUAUAGAACCUACCUUUUACAGGGGAAUAGCCCAGAGAAAUUUGGAUUAAUGCCCUAUAGUAUUAUUGAAUGGCAUCAUUUAGUAAUUAAACAUUUAUGGGUAAAAGAUGGCUAUGCGUUCUAUUAGCUAGAUGGUAAGGUAACGGCUUACCAUGGCAACGAUAGAUAGGGGUCCUGAGAGGGAGAUCCCCCACACUGGUACUGAGACACGGACCAGACUCCUACGGGAGGCAGCAGUGAGGAAUAUUGGACAAUGGAGGCAACUCUGAUCCAGCCAUGCCGCGUGCAGGAAGACGGCCCUAUGGGUUGUAAACUGCUUUUAUACGGGAAGAAACCCAACUACGUGUAGUUGGCUGACGGUACCGUAAGAAUAAGCACCGGCUAACUCCGUGCCAGCAGCCGCGGUAAUACGGAGGGUGCAAGCGUUAUCCGGAAUCAUUGGGUUUAAAGGGUCCGUAGGCGGGCUAAUAAGUCAGGGGUGAAAUCCAACAGCUUAACUGUUGAACUGCCUUUGAUACUGUUAGUCUUGAAUUAUAUGGAAGUAGAUAGAAUGUGUAGUGUAGCGGUGAAAUGCUUAGAGAUUACACAGAAUACCGAUUGCGAAGGCA